rnacentral:ribozyme from 1 species
GUGGUGGAGAGGCGUGAUACUUCUAUUUACUACAGAAUUUAAUUUGACUUGUAAUAAAGUCUACGAAUAGUACU